GAAAUGCGAUAAGUAAUGUGAAUUGCAGAAUUCAGUGAAUCAUCGAAUCUUUGAACGCACCUUGCGCUCCUUGGUAUUCCGAGGAGCAUGCCUGUUUGAGUGUCAUGGAAUUCUCAACUCUAUUUGCUUUUGUGAAUAGAGCUUGGAUUUGGAGGUUUAUUGCUGGUACUUGUGAUCGGCUCCUCUUGAAUGCAUUAGCUCGAACCUUUGCGGAUCAGCUAUCGGUGUGAUAAUUGUCUACGCCGUUGCAGUGAAGCAUAUCAAUGGGCUCGGCUUCCAAUCGUCCUUUACUGGACAAUGACUUUGACCGUUGACCUCAAAUCAGGUAGGAUUACCCGCUGAACUUAAGC
rnacentral:misc_RNA from 1 species